CCUCUUCCUCCGCCUCCCUGGGCUUCGCCACGUCACAGCUCGCCGGCCUCUCCCUCUCCGCUGGCGCUGCCACUUCAGCCGUCGUCGCCCCCUUCCCCAAGAGGCAGCUCCAGGCCUCCAGCCCAUCGUCGCGCCUGUGGUCAUCCAACCCCGUCUGCUGCUGCUGCGCCUUCGUCGACCGCGUCAAUGUGAGCCUCUCUUCGUCGGAGGCCGGAGGUGGGACCAGCCCGGCGUCCCUCGCCGUCGCCGGAGCUGAGCCACGUGAAGUCGAUCUCCGGCCUGUCUCGGUCUCUCGCGCGCCGUUGGAUUGGCGCCGUCAGCCCAGAUGGAGGGUCGGUGCCUCUGCGGAGCAAGUGGCAGGAAUCCCUCGUCGAUUGCGUGCCAACGGGGAAAAAAAGAAACGUGUGAAGCGGCGCAACGAGCUCGACGUAGUACCGUACCGACAGCUUAAACAGAGUGGAGUGCACUGCAUUUCGUAACAAUGAUUGGCUCAACUGAGAAUCAGCUUCAUUCUUGCAGCAGAAAAAAUGUAGGUUGGUCUGUCCCUUUUGCUCCAAGAGACUAGCCAUGGCUUUCACCUGUGGCAAAACCAAUUGCCGCACGAGUUUUCUUUGUUCCUUUCGUAGGCAAGGUUUUCUGAAGAUGGGUCGUUUGGUUGUUUGGAUGUCAAGAGCUAGAGUUUAGCUCUGUCACAUGGGAUAUUUCAAUACCAAUUAAGAAAAUUAAAUAUGAGCUAAUUAUAAAAUUAA